UGAGUUGAGUUGAGUUGAGUAUAGAUAUAUGCUGUAGUUAUUUCAUAAUGGUAGCUUAAAUAAUUUGUGCCUGUUUGCAAUAUUCUUACAAUUGAUUGCUUCACAUUUUAUUUAUUCAUCAAGUUAUUUCCUAUACUUGAAGACACCAACUAGUUUGGGACUAAGGCAUAGUUGGGCUCAGUUCCUAUGUGUGAAGAUUGAAGACAGUAAUCAUGUUGCUGAAUUACUGUUCACUAUUUUUUUCCCCUGCUAGUCACUAUGAUAAUGAAAUGCCAUGCAACAUUUAGUUAUAUGAUUUAUACUAGUUACAUGAUGCAUUCUGGAUGGAGGACUUAUCUAGUGUUCCCUUAUUUGCUUAUAUAUACAUUUGUCACCAGAUCUGUCCUGCAUUUUGUGUCUUUUAUGGGUAUCCUCCAAGAUUUGAGAAAAGAAUAAGAUUUUUUUUGGACAUUAAUCCUUUUGUUUUUCAUCAGUCAAGGAUUUGAAGUAGGUUGUCAGUAAGUUACUGGAAUUUAUUUUGUAAAUGCUUAAUUGCAAUAUUAUUUUUGAGUUUUCUAUUGAUUGCUUUGGAAUAAUGGAUUACUAUAACAUACACUGCUAUUUGAUUGGUAAUUCAUCUCUAUCCUGAUAGCUGAACUUCACAUCGAAAUUGCCAAUUAUACUUCCUCGAUGCCUUGUCUUUUCAUGAACUUUUAUUUCCCCUUACCUUUGUGCUGCUUUCUUAUUUUUAACAGUUGUCAGGAAGAAAAUUUCACUUUUUUUUUCUUUUGACUUCAG
rnacentral:misc_RNA from 1 species